GUCGGGAGUUAGGAAAUGCAAGGAUGUUAAUAGCGUUCUUGCUUGACUAAGGCUCCGGAGGAAGCCACGGCUAACUCUGUGCCAGCAGCCGCGGUAAUACAGAGGCGGCAAGCGUUGUUCGGAAUUAUUGGGCGUAAAGAGCACGUAGGCGGCUGUGUAAGUCGGUUGUGAAAGCCUUCCGCUCAACGGAAGAACGGCAUCCGAUACUGCAUGGCUUGAGUGUGGGAGGGGAGAGUGGAACUUCUGGUA
rnacentral:rRNA from 1 species